GUGGGGAAUUUUGGACAAUGGGGGCAACCCUGAUCCAGCCAUUCCGCGUGAGUGAAGAAGGCCUUCGGGUUGUAAAGCUCUUUCGGCAGGAACGAAACGGUGAGCUCUAACAUAGCUCGCUAAUGACGGUACCUGAAGAAGAAGCACCGGCUAACUACGUGCCAGCAGCCGCGGUAAUACGUAGGGUGCGAGCGUUAAUCGGAAUUACUGGGCGUAAAGCGGGCGCAGGCGGUUGUGUAAGACAGGUGUGAAAUCCCCGGGCUUAACCUGGGAACGGCGCUUGUGACUGCACGGCUAGAGUAUGGCAGAGGGGGGUGGAAUUCCACGUGUAGCAGUGAAAUGCGUAGAGAUGUGGAGGAACACCGAUGGCGAAGGCAGCCCCCUGGGCCAAUACUGACGCUCAUGCACGAAAGCGUGGGGAGCAAACAGGAUUAGAAACCCGGGUAGUCC
rnacentral:rRNA from 1 species